rnacentral:tmRNA from 1 species
CCCCUGGUCAAAGCCUGCACGGGCGCCUAUAUCCGUGGUGCCGCCUUCGGGCGACUAUGGUGAUAAACGGCACGUGGAAUAAGCGUUGUGGACCCGGGGGCAGUGCCCGGCGCCUCCACCAUCCUGAACCGGGCUUAUCGGCCCGGACCCUGAGAGGGGCCUUCCCGGCACGGGAAGCGGGUCAUGGGGGCGAAACAGGCUCGACGCGCGCGGUAAAGACGUGUCCUUUGCCCGGCAUUGUACCGCCGUUAUCGGGCUAAAUCACAAGUGCCAACGAUAAUGGUCGCGAGACCAUGGCGCUCGCUGCCUAGAGAUAGGUAAGCGCCGUCCGGGGGGAACGGGGCAACAGAAUCCCCCCACC